GUUUGCUCCCUGCAAAUGAAAAUUAAAAAAAAAAAAAAAAAAGUAGGAGAAGAAGAAAUAAAUUGCAUUAGUAAAACAAAUGGUGAUAAAAUCCAUUUAUCCAUUUAAGGAAUUUCAUCUCUUUGGUCAACAUCUGAAGUUAGCCACUUGACACAAUCUGUUCACCAUCCAGUAUAGAAGUUAUAAUUGAAUGAAAUUUCCUCAGAUAUUUUUCUGUUCUUCAGAACUGUCUUUCCACCAAAGAUACAUUUCUUGUGCCUUUAGUUGAUGAUGCAUUAAAAGCAGUAGCAAAAGUAGUGUCAAUUCUUAUCAUUUUGGUUGAGUCAUUUCUUUAACAAACAUCAGUUUAACUGUUAUCAGUAUACUUCAAGAAAAUAUGUUUAUAACAAUCAAGCAUAAUUGAAUAAAGUUAUAUGACACUUUAAACGCAUACAUGCUUCUAGUCUUCCAAAGAAAUCAUAGAAACAUUACAAACUGAACUAAAAUACUUUUCUGUAGACAUAUGUAUGACUUUGUUCACCCCUGAACAUGCUGAGGACUGUUUUCAGUAAUAAUUACUAAAUUGUUGGCUUUUCACUGAAAUCAUUUUUAUCUAUAUAUGACUAGCCUUCUGAAAAGCACUGAUGAUAGUCUCUGUAACAUAAUACACGUAUCAAGGGAUGUCCAGACAUACCUACAUUUAUUCACAACCUACAGGUUCAUGAUUUAACUAUUGUGUUUAGACUAUAUCUUCAAGUCCCAUCAGAGAAAGGUAAGCACUGUAGAGAGAAAUCUCUUUCAUUCAACCAACUUAUCAACUAGAGGACAUUAUCUCAUUCUACCCUGCAUUUACUGUAUUUGCUGCAAGUGUUUCUGAAGUCAGUGAAAAUCACACCUAUAAGUCAGGGGACAGACCAUUCCCAUAUUAUUUAUAAAUUACAAUGGAAGCAAAUGAACAGUGUUCACUGCAAUUGUUCUUAGACAAGAUCUAAGGCCUGGUCACUGAGAAGAGCAGCUGCUGUGGCAAUAAAAUGGAUGAUGCGUGAAACUACAGGGCAAUGCAGCGUUUUGCAGUCUGUAAGUAAUUAAGAAGAAUCUUGAACACCAUCCACAAGAGAUAAAUAUCUUAAAAACAGAAGAUUCUGAAAAUUCUCCACCAAGAAUUCCUUAAGAAUUAGCUGAAAAGCCUUGCUUGCUGAUACUCAUCUGCCAUACAUCACGCGAUAGCAGAAAGACUCAGAUGCCUAGAGAGCAUUAAUCUUGUGAAAGCUCUCAAUAGAAGUGCAAGUAGAUGACCUGUGUAACUAGGGGUCAUAAAUCCUGGUAUUAAUCCAGGGGAUAUUAAUGAAAUAUUCAUGUAGGAUUUACAUCACAAAGAAUUAAAGGAUAAGAAUCCUUUAAUGGAAGGACUGAAAGUGGAAGACUGGACUAUCUGGCAGACAAAGAAUUGGUUGACUAGUGAUAGCUGGGAAGUUGUUAUCAAUGGCUCUAUGUCCAGGUGGAGGCUGGUCACAAGUGGUAUCCCCUGGGGAUCUGUCUUGAGACCAGUGCUCUUCAAUAUCUUUAUCAGUGACAUAGACAGUGGGAUUGAGUAUACCUUCAGAAAGUUUGAGGAUGACUCCAAGCUGAGUGAUGCAGUUGACACAACAGAGGAAGGGACACCAUCCAGAGGGACUUGGAUAUGCUUGAAAAGUGGGCAUAUGAGAAUCUAAAGAGGUUUAACAAGGCCAAGUGCAAGUUGUUUAGCUUGGUUCGAGACAAUCCCAGAUAUGAGUACAGGCUGGGAGAAGAACUCACUGAGAGCAGCCCUGCAGAGAAGGACUUGGGGGUCCUGUGGAAGAAGAGCUGGACAUGAGCCAGCAGUGUGUGCUUGCAGCCAAGAAGGCCAACUGUAUCCUUAGCUGCAUCAAAAGAGAGGUGGCCAGCAGGGAGAAGGAAGUGGUUGUCGCCUUUGACUCUGCCCUUGUGAGGCUGUACCUCACAAGGUACCCAUCUGGGAUACUGUGUCCAGACCCAGGGCCCCCAGCACAAGAAAAAUACUGGAGCUGUUGGAGCAGCAGAGGGCCAUGAAGAUGACCAAAGGGCUGGAGCACCUCUCUUAUGAAGAAAGGCUGAGGGAUUUGGACUUAUUUAGCUUGGAGAAGAGGCGGCUUCAGGGAUACCUCAUUGUGGUCUUCCAGUGCUUGAAGGGAGCUUACAGGCAGGAGGGGGACUGACUUUUCACAUGGUCUGAUAGUGAUAGGACAAGGGAGAGUGGCUUUAAGCUAAAAAUGGGUAGAUUUAGUUCAGAUGUUAGAAAGAAAUUUUUUACCCAAAAGGUCAUGAGGCAAUGGCACAUGAUGCCCGGAGAAGCUAUAGGUGCCCUAUCCCUGGCGGUGUUCAAGACCAGGGUGGAUGAGGUCCUGGGCAACCUGAUCUGGUGGGUGGCAGCUCUGCCCAUGGCUGGGCUGCUGGAACUAGAUGAUCUUUAAGGCCCUCCUCCAACCUAAGCCAUGAUUCUAUGAUUCUAUGAAGAAUAUGCACACUACCACUAGACAUCUGGGUGUAUUUAAAAGUGUACUCUGACCAAAAAAAAAAAAACCAACAAAAAAAAAACUUUGAUUCUUUGAGUAGAAAGGCUCAUAGACGAGUUUCAAAAAGCUGUGAAUCACCUUGAGCAGAUGGUUCUGCUGUGACACAUAUUUAGCUUUGUUAGUCAAAGAUUUAAUCAGACAUACAGCUGUCACAUGUCCUGGCUGAAUGAUGAAUGAAGUUAUGAAGUUGAGAAGAGAGGCAGGAAUAUGCUAUCAAACUGCAAUCGAUAAUGCAACCAUCUGCAAAGUUCUACAUGUACAGAAAAAAAGAAAAUCACUUAAGAGCUCAAAUAAAUAAACAAACAAACAAACAAAUCAAUCCCUAUGUGGAUGGAAUAAGGCCUGCCAGGGGGUAGGAAGGCUCUACGAAGGGAUCUGAAUAGUCUGGAUAGCUGGGCUGAGGCCAGUGGGAUGAAGUUCAACAAGACCAAGUGCCAGGUCCUGCACUUUGGCCACAGAAACCUCAGGCAACACUACAGGCUUGGGGCAAACUGUCAGAAAGACUGUGUGGAAGAAACGGACCUGGGGACUUUGGUCAACACUCGGCUGAACGUGAGCCAGCAGUAUGCCCAGGUGGCCAAGAAAACCAGUUGGGCCAGGGGGAAUUCAGGUUCAAUGUUAGGAAAUACUUUUCCAAGAGAGUGGUCAGGCGCUGGAACAGGCUGCCCAGGGAGUUGGUGGAGUCACUAUCUCUAUAGGUGUUCAAGAAACGGUCAGAUAUACUGAGGAACAUGGUUUAGUGGGAAAUAGUGGUGAUGGGUGGAGAGUUGGACUGGAUGAUCUUAUAGGUCUUUCCCAACCUUGGUGAUUCUAUGAUUCUAAGGAAUCUUUCCAACAUUUCAAAAACAAUAGUGAGAGGUGGUUUGCUUACAAAGUACAAAAUAUCUACAUGGUAACAGAAUAGUGGCCAUAAAAGCAAUUUUAAUAAAUCAUGAAAGGCAAAACAAGUCACCAGGGAAGGCUAAGCACAAGUUAGUUAAGAUGGGGAAAUUAUCUAUUAAUUAACUGCAAGAAUGAUUAAUUUCCGGAGCAAAGACCAAUGCACAUGUAGUCUCCUCACAUCUUAAUGCCUUCACAUGAAGACUGAAAGCUUUUCUGUAAGAGCUACCUGAGUGAAAUGCAACAUAUGCAUUAAUUACUAGCAAAUGAUUAAGCUCAUUACAGAAUUUGCUGCUCAUAUUAUACAAGAGAUCAGACUAGAUUACCUACUGAUUGCUUCCGUCUUUCCACUCUACUUUCAUUUGAAGAGGUGAACUCCCUAUUUCCAACCCAACAUUCAUUCACUGAAGACACAAGUGUUUUAUGCCUCCUUGUUUCUCAAAGAAACCCACUGCUGAUGUGACCCUGCAUGAAUUACAUACAAAUUCUGUUUCAAGAUUGACUUCCUUUAAGGUGAAAACCAUGAUUGACCUUAUGUAAAGUAACAUCAAAAUAACUGUCUUGAUGAUCAUUAGGAAUUUAAUGUUAAAAAAAUUAAUUGCAAGUAACUUCCUGGAUUAGAGUUGCUUAAAUAAUCUGUUCUGCAGCUGUCACUUAUGCAGUUCAGAAAAUCCAGAACUGUAUGAUUCUUUCUUUCGUAUGCAAAACAGUUGUAGUGAACCCCAUUAUAUAACCUGCUGGUGAAACAAAUAUGAUUUUGGAGAAGAUACUGUAGAAUUUGGGACAGGGUGAAGGGGUAGGCAUGAAGAAUCUCUCUUUAACUCAUAGUUAAAAUGAAUGAUGACAGACUGUCAGGAAAGAAAAAUGAAGGUAUAUAAUUAUUGGUUGGCAUGCCUCAGGCAUCACCCAGGUGUUGACAAUACAUAAAGGCUGGGCAUGCAAAGACGUACCACCUCAAAAGGUCCUUUGGUAUCCAUCCCCCAAAAGUUUUAAUAGUACCAUCUGUUUUACAGAAUUGUUGAACUAGAAAUAAUUGGUUGUAACAGAAUAGUAACAAAAAGUGCACACAUAUACAGUUCUUUUUUUUUUCUCAGAUUCUGAAUCCUAUGCAAGAUAAGGUAUUAAAUAAAUCGUCAUAUAGUUAUUAAAUAUAACUAUAAAUAGUAAUAUCAAGUUAUUAAAUCCAAAAAGUAGUUAAAAAGAAAAAAAAAAAAAGACAAAGAAAGUACUUACUAACACUGCGCUAAACUGAUGGUGAGCAGUUCCUAGGAGUUGGUCUUUUGAUUCAGCAACAUAAUUGAAACGAGCAGAAGUUUAUUCAACUUCACAGAAGACAUGCAGCACUCACUUCCCAUUGGGUGAAGACUGAAAAAAAGGAAUUAAGUCAGAUCCUUUAGCUGUUACAUUCUGGAUGAUUUAAUUUUAUAUUCAUUGUUUGGACUUCUUAAAAGUUUUAAUUCUCCAAAAGGAAAGCUGAAAGCUUACACUGUAAUAUAGUUAAUCAAUCAUGUCACAUAAACAGUCAGAAGUGACACACUAAAGCAAUUGGCUUAUAGACAUUCUGAAAUGUAAUCGUCCAAAUUAUUGAGUUUAUGCUUACAAAAAGUAAAGCAAUAGCAGAAACCAGGAUCUAUUUCUGAGUGAUUCAUAAGUAUGCAUGGAAAAUAUAAUCCCAAUAACUACGUGACAAGCUCUGACACACACAAACACCCACAAACUGGCAUCCACUGCAAAAAGAGUUCUUAUGGUUGCAAAAGAGUUUCCAUUCAUUCACUGCUUUCCAAACUUAAAACUUUAAAAGACAUUUUAAGUCAGUACUUUCUGAUGCUUUCUCUUCUAUCUGUGAGCUUAGGGUAUUUGUUGUUGUUGGGCUGAGUUAGAAGAGUCUGAAAAAAGAUACAUAGUCACUUUAAAAUAAAAAGAAGCUUAAACUUAUUUUUUGCAUCAUUAAAAAAUAAGUGAAGAGAAACUUGUCCUAUUUCCUUUAAGGCCUGGAGCCAAAAAAAUGUUUAAUUUUAAAAUGUCAGCUUAGCAAGAAAAUACUUCUCUAUAUGCACAGUGGGCCUUCCGGAAGUAUUUGUUUAAGGGCAUGAUCAACCUCGCAUUCUCUUCAGACUGAUACUGACUUCAAAGCCUUUAGCUGAGGCCCUACAGGUACAUUUGGACAAUGGUGAGCUUAUGGUAAUGCAUAAAUCAGUAGUUAAGUACACUCAGAAAUAUCAAGUCCCAUUAAUUAUUCCAGUAUGGUCAAGGCAACUGUUCAAAUGCAUCAAGAAAUUCAGAACACAACCAAGGCUUCCUCCUGCUGCACGUCUACCGCCUUCUACGCACAGGAUUGUCCUGCGGGCUACAGGGCUUAGCUCUUGAAGGCCACACAGUCUUUACUUUUCCUUUUACUAUAGUGCUGACUGAAUGCAAUGUUUCUUUGCUUUCUCCACACAUUUUUAAUUCUUAAUUAGCUGAAGUAGCUAUGUUGAACCCAAACUGUGAUUGAGGCCAUAGAAUCAUAAGAUCAUAGAAUCGCCAAGGUUGUAAAAGACUUCCAAGAUCAUUUAAUCCAAUCACGCAUUUACCACCAAUAUUUCCCUGCUCAACCAUAUCCCUCAGUACACCUAAACAUUUCUUGAACACUCCCAGGGACGAUGACUCAACCACUUCCCUGGGCAGCCCGUUCCAGCACCUGGCUACUCUUUUGGAGACAAAUUUUUUCUGAAUAUCCAACCUGAACCUCCCCUGGCACAACUUGAGGGCAUUAGCUCUCAUCUUAUCCCUGUCAUCUGAGAGAAGAGGCUGACCCCCAGCUCACCACAGCCUCCUUUCAGGUCAUUGCAAAGAUCAAUAAGGUCUCCUCUGAGCCUCCUCUUCUCCAUACUAAAUAAUCCCUGUUCCCUCAGUAACUCCCCAUAAGACUUGUCCUCCAGCCUCCUUACAGCUUCAUUCCCUUUCUCUGGACACAGAGAAAUGUCUUUCUUGUAGUGAAGGGCCCAAAACUGAACACAGUACUCAAGGUAAUAAGUAAAAGGGGACGAUCACCCCUCCGCUCCUGCUGGCUGCACUACUUCUGACACAAGGCAGGAUGCCAUUGGUUUUCUUGGCUACCUGGACACACUGCUAGCUUACGUUCAGCUGAGCGUUGACCAAAGACCCCAGGUCCAUUUCUUCCACACGGUCUUCCCAACAGUCUGCCCGAAGCCUGUGGUGUUGCUCGAAGUUGUUGUGGCCAAAGUGCAGGACCUGACACUUGUUCUUGUUGAAUUUCAUGCCAUUAGCCUCAGCCCAGCUAUCUGUCCUGUCCAGACUCCUCCAUAGAGCCUUCCUACCCUCAGGUAGAUUGACACUCCAACUUGGUGUCAUCUGCUAACUUACUGAGGGUGCACUCAAUCUUCUCAUCCACAUCAUCAGAUAAAGAUACUGAGGAGGACAGGGCUCCAAUACUGACCCCUGGGAAACACCAGUCAUGACCAGUUGCGAGCUGGAUUUAACUACUUUCACCACCACUCUCUGGACCUGGCCCUCCAACCACUUCUUUACCCAGCAAAGUGUGUACCUGUCCAAGCUGUGGGCUGCCAACUUCUCCAGGAGAAUACUGUGGAAGACAGCGUCAAGGCUUUGCUGAAUUCUUGGUAGACUAUGUUGACAGCCUUUCCUUCAUCCACCAGGCAGGUCACUUGAUCACAGACAGAGACAAGGCUGGUUAAGCAGGACCUGCCUUCAUGAACCCAUGCUGGCUGGGCCCAAUGCUUCAAUUGUCCCACAUCAGACCAAGAGGUCCUGUUUGGACAUUGACACCAAUGAAGCAUUAAUGCAGUUCUGCACCUGACUAAAUGCUGUCAUCACUGCUCCUAAAUCUGGAGAUAGCUUGGUCACUGCUACCUGAAGAUCCUCAGCAUUACAUAUGGAAAAGAGCAUCACUGCAACACAAGAUAGCUGAAUCAUCUCAAUUAGUUUACAGAACUGUACACUGAUUGGGGAAUGUUAGGCAUGUCAGCCUGCAACUCACCAAAAGAGUGGGGAUAAGAGUAGUUUCUCAUCUUGUUCAUCUCUAUGAGUGUGCAUCAACUAGAGCUCUCUUCCAAGUGUCUAUUUUCUACUUUCUGAUCACCACAAUUCGCUUUCAGGCAUAUAUUUCACAUGUAAUGUUGAUGGAAAAGCAUCACAUUCUUACUAUUAGUAAUAUUUUAUCAUUCUUUUUACUGUUUUUUUUCCUGAAUUUUAAUGCACAAAAUAGCCUUGGAACAGGUUGGUCAUCAAGUUUUGUUCAACAAAUUAAUUUUUCAGCUACUGGUAUAAGCCUGAAGUCACAGCUCUUACAUAAAGCUUAAUUCACUUCCUUCAGUUCCCCUUCCUUCCCUUCCUUAGACCUGUUCAUGCCACCUUAAGGCACAACUGGCACUUCAGUUGCCAUCAUUCCCUUGCCUAUUACCUCAUUCUCUUUUCUUUUCCAUCUUUGCACUUCAGACAAGGUGUGGUGUUUUUCUGUAGCAAACAUCUCCAAAAAUAGUGCAUCUUAAUUUCUAGAAUGAGUUACAAACCUGCAGUGUCAGACUUCACUCCCCUAGAGCCCAUGCCAACUCCCUUACCAUACCCCAGACUUUUGGCUCUCCACAUCAUCACCUCAGGGACCACAAAUGUAUAAUGCUACCACUGAAAACAUGUCCUCUAGCAGUCAUAUGACAGUUAUGUUCUCCCAGAGUGUGAGUUGCUCAUCCUGCAGAUGUUCAGUGCUUCAUAACUGGGGGGAGCUUCCCAGCUGACUUUCAAUAUGUUCUGUACAAAUAUAUACACCAUAAUUCAAGAUACUACAAGUAUGCGGUCAACUGUGGUGGUCAAAUUGAGAAACUCACACCUUCACAUGCUUGUUAGGGGUGAGACAGUCUGCGGUACAUCAAAUCUCUGCAGGUGCUUUCUCUGAGGGCCAGUUAAAUGGAACUAUUAAGUAGCUGCCACAGGCAAAGAACAGAAAAUUGGGCAGUUACCACAGCUCAGAUGACACGUGUUAACUUGCUAAACUGUAAGUGUAAGAUCAAAAGUUUCCUUUAUCUUGUGGUACACAUCAGAUUAACAACACAUAAAAAAUUACUAUGCAUCAUUUAAAAAAUCAAACUUAAAAUAAAAAAAAAGAAUGAACCCAAAAUACUUUCGGUACAAAUUACCUUUCUGAUUAUUUGUCCAAAACAAGACAAUGGGAAACAUCCAUGGAAUGUGCUUAGGAUCAUGAUCUCUGCUCUCUGUCGUAUGGAGUGGACAAACCAAAUUUUAACAAGUUUAUCCCAGAACGAGACCUCAGAAGAACAGAAUUUUGGCAGCUGUAGCAGGCCAGCACCACACACUGAUGGUACCCAUGCAAAGUGAGGGGCAUCUUUGUGCUGUGAUUUGCUCCAGAGCACCCUGGCAAAUCCUCUGCAGCUCAGCAGAAACACCUAGAUCUUGUGAAGUCUGUCUUAGAAAGGAGCACUUUUAGUCAUUGUCUACAAAUGCAGCACACCACAUAGCAAGGGAUGACGCAUAUGAAAAAUGACUUGUGUCAUUCUCCACCACAGAUUUUGAGAGACACUCCAGUAAGUCAUUCGAAACCUGAGGACCCCCCAGCAAUAGUCCACUGAGACUUACAGUACCAAACCAGUAAAGUAUGGAGGAGCCAGAAGCACUGCUGCCAUGAUAGAGUGGACCAUCACCCAAGGUAAUUUACCCUGCUUCUCAGAUGUUUGCUCCUGGAUGAUCAUCUCUUUUGUUCCUGUUUAUCAGAGGCUGUUUCAAAGAUGUUUCAAGAAUACUAUCAGCCCAUUACCAGUCCUUUAAGGAUUUAUGAAAUAAGGGUCAUGAUUUCAGUGCCUAUUAAUAACAAAAUGAGCAAAUGGCGUAAGACAAAAGCUACUGAUUCAAAAUUAUGUUCAUUAAUCCUUCUGCAUUAAUCACCCUGCUGCAUGUUGCACCUUGUAAAGCUUAUAUAUCGCUUCGUAAGUAGCCUCUGAUCACUCUGUAGUAAUCCAGGCUGGAUGUGAAAAAGGCAUAAAUGACUGCGUAAAUGCUUUGUAAUCCAUUUAUUUCAUUUGUUAAUUUGUCAUCAUGCUAACUACCUGCAAAACAAUGUUUGUCAAGUGCCAUGAGUGCAGAGCAUCAAUCAUGACAAGAUGCAGGACACAAAUAUGCUUUAGGAUGCUGACUGCAGCCUUCUGCUGUUUUGUCCCUGCUUUGUUUGUUUGGUUGAUUGGUUAAUGAGUGUUGACUACAAGGUCAUUUAUUUUUUUUAACUCAGAGUGUGGCUUUGGUUGCUCACUUGCUUUAUACUGGGGCAGCUGGAAAUCUGUAAGCAUUCUGCACUUCCAAAAUGUCAGGGGAAAAAAUCAUAAGCACACAGAAAUGGUCACAUGGCUUUUUCACACAUAAUAAUGAUAAUAAUAAUCUAAUUGUGUGCCUUCACUUCAGUGCAAUAGCAAAAUUAAAAUGGUUUAUAGAAAGUGCAUUUUCUGAAGUGUCUUUGCUAUUAAAGCCAUUUAUAGUUUUGAUAUGAAAUUAAAAAAAAUAGCUGUAAAUAAUAGUCUGAGUACUGCAAGGAAUGCAAUUUUAAUACUAAUUUUCCAUGAGUUUAAUUAAUUAGAUAGUUUUAAUUUCUUUAUUUGUUCAUUACAGUUUCAUACUUUACCUUAAGGUUUUAGGUGAGAGACAUUUAAAAGGCUUAGAGAACAAGUUUCAACACAAUCCCACUCAAACCACAUAGACCAAGUUUCCUAACACACAUUCAUUGUCUAGUCCUUACUUAAUUUUAUAAUUACCACUAGAAUAAACAGGAGUUAAAUAAAGUUACUGUGGGUCUAAGCUUUGUUCAUUUUAAAAUGGAGGAAGAAGCUGUCCAGAUCUAAGCUGCUACUAUUGCUGUUCUUUUCCUUCACAAUCCUUUGUGAUCAGCUGAAAUUCCCAAAAUUAGCAGGCAUUUAGUGGAUAGAAAAUGUGCUAUUCUUGUACCCCCUUCUACAGAAGAAAGUUUCAGAUUAUUCUUGGUAUGGAUUUUUCACCACAUUUCGUAACUGAUAAUGUAUGUACCAUCUUCUAAUGGUAAUGGUAAACAUGACAACAAAGAAAAAUAAAAGGAUAUUGAGAUCCUAAAAGAGAUUUCAAGCUGAAAAAUGCCUGUGUUCUAUUCACCAGCGAAGACUGAAGGCAGUGCAGGAGGAGCUUGUGAUGCUUGCACACAGGAGGAGCAGCCCACCAAGGCCAGUCAGUCUCAUCGCUUAGCCCACAUAACCACCUAGAUGCCUUUGCAAGGCAACAUAUACAAUUGCAAUGGUUGAAUUUCACAAUUUCUAUUGAUGUCUGGAAUGCUUGUUAAUAAUGACGUUAAGAAUAAAGUGCACCACAGUACCUGUUAAUUCAUUAUCUGAAGAAAACUUGAGGGUGUGGUGACUCUUCAUCUUGUUCAUCUUGUUUAUCAUUAAACAUUCUUACAAAUAUUCAGAGAAAGAAGAUCCUUCUAGCACUGCCUACCUUUUUGUGUCCACUGCAGGCUGCGUACUUGUAAUUUGGGUUGUUUGGGAGUUUUCUUUUAGUGAUUGGGCCCCCUCCCUGGAAGCAUGCAAGGCCAGGCUGGAUGGGGCUUUGAGUAAACUGGUCUAGAGGGAGAUGUCCCUGCCUAUAGCAGGGAGAUUGGUACUAGAUGAUCUUAAGGGUCCCUUCCAACCCAAACCAUUCUAUGACUCUAUGAUUCUAUGAUCCUGAUUAGGAUAUUCUUUGGACUCUGGAAAGUUGCAGUUUGGGAAGUUACGUGGAGAUGCAUAGGGAACUUCAGAGGUAUUGUGAAAACCCUUGAAAAUGUAGUUAACAAAUUCAAAGAAUAAAUUAAUACUCCAUUCCAAAUUAAGGUGUUUAACUGGGACACAUCACAUAGCAUCUCAACAGAAGAAACACGUCAACUCACAUUGCAGACAGAAGCCCUGAGGAAGCAAUUGUUCUCCAAAAUGAUUAAGGAUCGAAACAUUUUUUGCAGAAGGCUCAUUGCAAACCCUAAGCUUGCCAAGAGCACUAGCCAACAGCUUGCUUUUAGUAGACUGAAUUCAUUGCAGGAAUUUGCAUACCUUGCCAAAAAGCCUCAUAACUUAAGACCGAUAAUCAGAUAUUCCCACAGGUGAGAAAGCAUUCUCACAGUGGUUUGUAAGAUUCUGGAGGCUUUCUCUGUUUAAUUUGCCCUUGACACACAACAGCUAUAUUUUUACAAUUAGAAAGGGUGUUUUCCCAGCUUGUAACUAAUACUCUUAAUUUCUAUACAGAUCACUCGACUGUUCGGGCCCAUUUGGACAGCCUCUUUUGAGCAAUGUCUGGGCAAUUUUGCUUGUGCUGAAAAUGCUUCUUAGGAAGUGUCUGUUUUACUGCCUGCUUCACCAAGCUUCAACAACAUGUAUUAUGAAUCAUAAAAUAUUAAUCUUCAGUCUUUAACAGCAUAAAUAAGAAUCUUGUUUAAACAAGAACAAACAAUCACUGAAGGGGUUGUGCUACUGUGAAUGAAACUCCUAUUACUUCAGUAGUGCCAGGCUUUCAGUCUGGAUGCUUUCUUGCUAGCAAUUCUUGAACCUUCAGAAAUAAAUAUUAGAGAAAAUGAGCAUAAGAGCAUAAUUUUGUUUUCACUUUCAUGGUACAGGUACAGGUUAUAACCAAAUAGACACGUUUCAAGUUUACUUCAGGGUCUAUUCCUUAAAAUUAAAUAAUUGCAUGCUUUGAAUUAAUUGUUCUAUUUAUUUAACUAUUAACUUGAAAUAAUUUCAAUAUUACUCUAAUUUAAGAAAGAUUUUCCCAAAAUACCAAUAGCAAAGGAAAAUUGAAGUGUCUCUUUUAGCAAGCAAAACAUAUUAAAAAGGGAAAUGAAUUACAUUUAAAAGGCAUUAGACCUUUAGCACCUCUGCUAAGCAUCAAACCCAGAGAAAUAAUAAAUAAUGCACUAUAGCUCAUGUUAAUUCUAACAUUAUUCAUUCAUGAAUGGACAGGAGUAGGUAGCUAACUCAAUAAUGGCACUUCUCUAGUAUAUCUAUGUUAAUGUAAAAACUGUGUUGUUCCUCCCCCUCUUCCUGUAAAAUGCAGAUGUCAUAAAACACUGUGCAUGGACACACCAGGAUUCUGGAUACCUAAAGUAGUGUGAUGCUUUUUCUUUUAAGUGAAAGCAAUGAGGUAAACAAAAGUAUUUUCUAUAAAGUUUGAAUUCACACAGGAGAUUGUGACAGUAUUUUUAUAUCGUCUCAUAUUAAGAAAUAGUCAAUUUAUAAGCAAGUAAUAUGGAUGUGGCAUAAGACACACUCAAGCAUUUAAUAAGUGGAUGCUGGUAUCAUAACUUUUAAGCAGAAAAGUAGCCUUUGCGUUUGUGUUAACAGAAUUGUUAUCUAUUCUCAGAAGGGCUUGUAACGCUGACAUUAUAAAUCCUCAGGACUCUAAAAUGCUUCAUCAGUUGACUCCUUCUCCAAAGUAAGUCAAAUUUUACUGAGUGGCUCAUGAGUGAUGUUGUGCAAUGCAAGUAAUGCAUGGGACCUGGAGCAUUUAAAAAUAUUUUUCCUGUUUCUCCUCUUUACAAUUGAUUUUUUUUUUUUAUAGCAUGUCAUUUUUUAAUUAAAUUAAUGGCAAACCUAUGAGGUUAGGAGUCCUUAUUUUUAUGCUUUACUUAUUUCAAAAUAAUGAUUUGAAUAAGCGUAGAACUUCCCUUCUUAGUAAGACAUUCAUCAUCAAACGGCUGCUACGAAUGGCGGAGAGCUCAUGCAUACACAGGAACAUAUAGAAAUACCCCCUGUGUCCCACUAUGCAAUCACUAAUUUUUUAGAUCCCAGCCCUGCAUUUGAUGGAUAUUCCAAAAUACAUUUCCAGGGAUUUAGAAGUGUUCAGAAUUUGUAUUCAGCAUCAGUUUAAAGUACAAAUAAGAUGGACAGUGGAAAGAAAAACCUUUGUGCUUUAAGCACAUCUGUGGUUUAACUCAAUUUUAUUUGAAAGCCUUAACGAAUAGGCUUUCUAUUAGGUGACAUGCAAAACAGAUACACAUGCUUUUCCAGUGUGAUAUUUGCAUACACAUUGUUUGUAUUUCCAAUAUCAAAUCUUGGUCUGUAGCUAUUUUAAAUUCCAGCUCAAGACACUCUAAAUUACGUUAUAUAUCCAUGUUGGUGUUACACAACUGACAGAUAAAAAUGUGCACAUUGAAAAGCUAAGGUGAUUAUUUCUUUGAGCAAAACUGAAUUCUCACUUUUGUUGUAGAAAAUGCUAUUACUGGAAAAUGCCACACUAAGUGCAGAAAAAUAAGCCUGUUUAUGGCAACUUAGUUUGUGUCUGAGUCUCAUUAUUGUACUUUUUAAAUACUGUAAGAUGCUCUACCAUUUACAAAGGAACCAUUUCUUUUAAUACCCUAAAAGUGGUGACGUUUCUGAUUCAGGUAGAAAGAUCAGAUAGAUUUUAUAGGAACUGGCAUUCCAGUAGAAGUAGAUAUGAAGUAGAAAUGCAACUUGUGCAUAACAUAAAGUUAAUUUUCAGUAUAUAUAAAAAUCCCUUUAUGUAGCUGUAAUUUAACUUCGCAAAAAAUCAACAAUAUAAAAAUUUACUCAAACGGGAAAAGUCUUACAUUUUAUGUUCCAGUGCAUUAUGUUGAAGGUCCUCAAAUACCCUUUUUGAUUCCACAAAGGUAGUUUUUAGUUUUUGUAUUUCUCUCAAUCUGGCUCUCAGUAAGGCUCCGCACUCUGU
ensembl:lncRNA